rnacentral:rRNA from 1 species
AUGGUGCUGGGCAUGAACUGCUUCGGCGCUCCUGAAGCCGCAAGCAAGGUGUCGCCGGCGGGCAGGCGGCUGGGAGGAGAGGGAGCAGAGGCCGUGGAGCAGAGAGCGGCGGUAACAGAGGCGGCGCCAAGUGGCCACGUAGUCGGCGAGGCCAAGCAGAUGGGAGGUGUUGAUCAGGUGAAGGCGGCGGGGAAGGAGGGGAAGAAGAAGAGGAGCGGGGCUCCCAUAGUGAUGCACCACUUCCCCUUCCAUUCUCGUCCUGGGCUGCUCUGA